ensembl:lncRNA
AAAGUAUCCAUCCAUGCUUCUCUUGCAUAGUAACCACUGAAUGGCUGUGGAACUUGUUCAGUUUGUCUCAGUUAUUUAACUUUCUGUUAAAACAAAUAUAUACACGUUAAGAAAUUUUCUGCAGAUAAAAGUAGUAGAAAUUGAGAGGGCGUUUCUUUUUAAAUAUCUUUUUAUGUUAGUAUGUAAAGUUGGAUAUAAUGUACACACAGCAGUACACAGAAGUGAUAUUUGUAGCAGAACAAUGACCUUACAACAAUAGAAGUACACUGAAUCCACAAUAAUAGAACUAGGUCAAAAUGAUGCAGGCGAAAAAAGUCCCUGUAUGGAGGCAAGACCUGAGAGUCUCUUUCAUCUUCGUUUUUGAGACCUUUUUGAGGCUUUCAUACUGGUCGCCUUCUUAAUGAACAAGAUCAGUGAUUUUCAGAGCGGUAGCACAGCAGAAACCACAGGAACAGGAAGAGAAUCAACAAACAGCAACAUCGAAACAAACCCACGGAGGUAACAAGAAAACAAAAUAAAAGCAAAAGCAAAAAAGCAGCAAUUGGUAACAUCAUAUCUGCUCCUCGGUUCUGCUGCUGCUGGUUUGAUUGUCCUCUCCAGCCUGAUCCAAAAAGUGCUGCUCCUGCUGCAAGUACUAACCCAAGUCCCAAUAAUCCUCCAAAUAAUCCAGAUGCUAGACCUGCUACUGCUGUUCCUACUGCUGCUAAUCCUGAUGCUGCUGCUGAUGCUAAUGCUACUGAUGCUACUACUCCUGCUGCUGUUAGUGCUAAUCCUGAUGCUCCAAAUGAUGCUAAUGCAUUGAAUGCUUUUUUUGCUGCAUCUAUAAUCCAUUGUGCUGCUGCUUUUACUUGGGAUACUGCAGACUUUAUUAGAUCUUUUACCCAUUUUAUUUUAUUUACUGCCCAUUUUAUUAGACUUCCUGUUAUUGCUACUAGACUCACUCCUACAAACAGUUUCAAUGCAUCUUUUAAACGCUUUAUUAUUUUUAUAGCGCAUUGUAAUUGUGUUUUUGCUAUUGCAACUAUUGCAGCUCCUGCUAUCGCUCCAACUAUUGCUGCUCCUGUUAGUGAACGUUCUGCUACCAUUGAUCGCAACAUUGCUGCUGCUAAUCCUGCUAUGCCUCCUGUUACUCCUGUUACUGCGACAGCUAGUAGUUCUGUUCUUUCUUCUUCUUCCCACAGUGAGUGUAAAAUGCCAAUUCCAGCUGCUGCUCCAGCUGCUGCUCCGACUACUCCUUCACCUACUCCUGAAAUAUAUGCAUAAGCUACUACUACAACUGUUACAAUUGUAAUUGUUAAUGUCAGUGGUGACAGUAGAGUUUCCCUUGGUUCUUCUGCUGCUGCUUUCUCUGCCGCUGAAACAGAAUAACAAUUCUUACUAUUAAAUGUCAC